rnacentral:rRNA from 1 species
AAUGAACGCUAGCUACAGGCUUAACACAUGCAAGUCGAGGGGCAGCAUUUUUAUAGCAAUAUAAAAGAUGGCGACCGGCGCACGGGUGAGUAACACGUAUCCAACCUGCCGAUAACUCGGGGAUAACCCUUCGAAAGAAGGCCUAAUACCCGAUGGCAUAUCCCUUCCGCCUGGUUGGGAUAUUAAAGAACUUCGGUUAUAGAUGGACAUGCGUUGUAUUAGCUAGUUGGUGAGGUAACGGCUCACCAAGGCAACGAUACAUAGGGGGACUGAGAGGUUAACCCCCCACACUGGUACUGAGACACGGAUCAG